rnacentral:lncRNA from 1 species
CUCUUUGCAGUUAUCAGUAUCCGGUUUGCGGUAUUGAUAUUCUUUCCCCUUUGGAUAUUUGCUGUGAUCAAGCAGUAUUGUCCCCAUUGGGUCUUCCCCUUCUUUUUGGAUAUUUGCUCCGAGUUAGCAACUUUAUCCUCUUUUGAUUGGUCAUCUUUUGCAUACCUAGUCUUGGUACCCUGAUGCCUUUCCUUUCGGUCG